GACGUAGGGUGCGAGCGUUGUCCGGAUUUAUUGGGCGUAAAGAGCUCGUAGGCGGCUUGUCGCGUCGACCGUGAAAACUUGGGGCUCAACCCCAAGCCUACGGUCGAUACGGGCAGGCUAGAGUUCGGUAGGGGAGACUGGAAUUCCUGGUGUAGCGGUGAAAUGCGCAGAUAUCAGGAGGAACACCGGUGGCGAAGGCGGGUCUCUGGGCCGAUACUGACGCUGAGGAGCGAAAGCGUGGGGAGCGAACAGG
rnacentral:rRNA from 1 species